GUACCGUGAGGGAAAGUUGAAAAGAACUUUGAAGAGAGAGUUCAAUAGUACGUGAAACCUCUCGGGGGUAAGCGGGCAGAACUUGCAAGUAUUGGUGAGAAUAUUCAGGCUUAGUGUUGGUGACUGAGGGCAUUUGUUAAGUUGUCCGUUCGCGGAUUGGCUGAUGUGUGCUCUUUGACUUGCUGACGAUGCGCCGCAUUUAUUCUCAUCAUCGGGUUGCAUGUGACUGAGAUUGGUAGUUUAGGUGCUGGGGAUCUGCGAAGCCUUGUUGUUUCGAGUCCUGGUUUCCAACUACUACUGCGGUCAUUUCACUUUAAUGAGCAGGCGUUUAGGCGCGGUCAAUGGUUUGUACGAGUUGUGUACGUGUGAUGUGUGGACGGGUAACCGUAACACGUUGUACGAGGCUGGUUGUCAGUAUGAGCUAUUUGGCACUGUUCAGUGGAUUGCAAUCUA
rnacentral:rRNA from 1 species